UUCUCUUUCUGUGUUUCUCUUCCGUGGUGGAGAUUUCAAGUCCCCUCAUUAUACUUUUUCAGUUGCGUCAGUCCCUUUCAUUAUCUAAGGAGCCUCACUGACGUUUGCUAGACCUGUGGACGAUAUUACUGUUCCCUGAGGAUGCAUCCUCUCCCACUCAAUUAUUCGCGCACCUAUAAAUCCCAUGAGCUCUCUGCCUUCCAUACACUCCUGUCAUAUCAUUUUCUGGGGGUGGGAGAGAGGAGGAGAAAGAAGUGCACAAUGAGUUGGAAGAGCAUGAUAUUGAUAAUUGGUGGACCUGGUUAUCUUGGUAAAUUCAUGGUAAAGGCGAGUAUUUCAUGGGGUCAUCCAACCUAUGUCUACAGUCGACCUUCUACUAAGGCCUCCGAUUCUUCUUCCAAGAUUCAAGUCAUCCACGAUUUUGAAUCCAUGGGAGUUCAUAUUAUCCAGGGGUACAUGGAUGAAUAUGAUAAGCUGCUUUCGGUGCUUCAUAAAGUUGAUGAUGUGAUCUCAUUGUUGCCCAUUCCCCAACAUUUAGAGCAACUCAUACUCAUAAAUGCCAUCAAAGAAGUGGGGAACAUUAAGAGGUUUAUCCCUUCAGAGUUUGGCAUCGAAGCAGGCAAAGCAUAUGGUUUGCCUCCAUUACAAAGAAUAAGUGAUACUAAGAAGAAAAUUAGAAGCGCUAUCAAAGAGGCCAGGAUUCCACACACUUUUAUUACUGGGAAUUCUUUUGGUGCUCACUUUGUAGAUUACUUGCUAAAUCCUCAGCAACAAAUGGAUGAAAUUACAAUCUAUGGGGAUGGCUGAGCAAAAGCUGUGAUGACCUUUGAGGAAGACAUUGCUGCUUUCACAAUAAGGGCAGUUGAUGAUAUCCGCACACUCAACCGCGUUGUCAUCUGCAAACCACCGAAGAACGUCAUUUCUCAGCUUGAUUUGAUCUCUUUGUGGGAGAAAAGAUGUGGAAAGAGUCUAACGAGAAACUUUCUCUCAGAAGACCAAAUAAUUAAACUCACUGAGACACUUCCUCAUCCUGAGAACGUGGCACCGGCUAUCCUGCACUAUUUCUUUGUUGCAGGUCAGUCCAACUUGGAAUUGGAAGAGGAUGACUUGGAGCUGUCGCAUCUUUACCCAGACUACAACUACACUCCCAUUGCCGAUCUCAUUGACGUUUUUGCUGUUAAACCACUACAGAUUAAAAGGUCAGCCCUUGGAUGAUUGGAAUUCCCACAAACACUGGGACUCUUUGUUGGCUUUUCUUUUGUCCUGUUUGAUGACAUUGCCCUGGUUUGUAUCAAACAUUUGAAUAUGCAACUUAUUCCAUCAUGGCACGUUGCAUAA